rnacentral:rRNA from 1 species
UUAAGCGACUAAGCGUACACGGUGGAUGCCCUGGCAGUCAGAGGCGAUGAAGGACGUGCUAAUCUGCGAUAAGCGUCGGUAAGGUGAUAUGAACCGUUAUAACCGGCGAUUUCCGAAUGGGGAAACCCAGUGUGUUUCGACACACUAUCAUUAACUGAAUCCAUAGGUUAAUGAGGCGAACCGGGGGAACUGAAACAUCUAAGUACCCCGAGGAAAAGAAAUCAACCGAGAUUCCCCCAGUAGCGGCGAGCGAACGGGGAGGAGCCCAGAGCCUGAAUCAGUGUGUGUGUUAGUGGAAGCGUCUGGAAAGGCGCGCGAUACAGGGUGACAGCCCCGUACACAAAAAUGCACAUAUUGUGAGCUCGAUGAGUAGGGCGGGACACGUGGUAUCCUGUCUGAAUAUGGGGGGACCAUCCUCCAAGGCUAAAUACUCCUGACUGACCGAUAGUGAACCAGUACCGUGAGGGAAAGGCGAAAAGAACCCCGGCGAGGGGAGUGAAAAAGAACCUGAAACCGUGUACGUACAAGCAGUGGGAGCCUCUUUAUGGGGUGACUGCGUACCUUUUGUAUAAUGGGUCAGCGACUUAUAUUCUGUAGCAAGGUUAACCGAAUAGGGGAGCCGAAGGGAAACCGAGUCUUAACUGGGCGUUAAGUUGCAGGGUAUAGACCCGAAACCCGGUGAUCUAGCCAUGGGCAGGUUGAAGGUUGGGUAACACUAACUGGAGGACCGAACCGACUAAUGUUGAAAAAUUAGCGGAUGACUUGUGGCUGGGGGUGAAAGGCCAAUCAAACCGGGAGAUAGCUGGUUCUCCCCGAAAGCUAUUUAGGUAGCGCCUCGUGAAUUCAUCUCCGGGGGUAGAGCACUGUUUCGGCAAGGGGGUCAUCCCGACUUACCAACCCGAUGCAAACUGCGAAUACCGGAGAAUGUUAUCACGGGAGACACACGGCGGGUGCUAACGUCCGUCGUGAAGAGGGAAACAACCCAGACCGCCAGCUAAGGUCCCAAAGUCAUGGUUAAGUGGGAAACGAUGUGGGAAGGCCCAGACAGCCAGGAUGUUGGCUUAGAAGCAGCCAUCAUUUAAAGAAAGCGUAAUAGCUCACUGGUCGAGUCGGCCUGCGCGGAAGAUGUAACGGGGCUAAACCAUGCACCGAAGCUGCGGCAGCGACACUAUGUGUUGUUGGGUAGGGGAGCGUUCUGUAAGCCUGUGAAGGUGGCCUGUGAGGGUUGCUGGAGGUAUCAGAAGUGCGAAUGCUGACAUAAGUAACGAUAAAGCGGGUGAAAAGCCCGCUCGCCGGAAGACCAAGGGUUCCUGUCCAACGUUAAUCGGGGCAGGGUGAGUCGACCCCUAAGGCGAGGCCGAAAGGCGUAGUCGAUGGGAAACAGGUUAAUAUUCCUGUACUUGGUGUUACUGCGAAGGGGGGACGAAGAAGGCUAUGUUGGCCGGGCGACGGUUGUCCCGGUUUAAGCGUGUAGGCUGGUUUUCCAGGCAAAUCCGGAAAACCAAGGCUGAGGCGUGAUGACGAGGCACUACGGUGCUGAAGCGACAAAUGCCCUGCUUCCAGGAAAAGCCUCUAAGCAUCAGGUAACAUCAAAUCGUACCCCAAACCGACACAGGUGGUCAGGUAGAGAAUACCAAGGCGCUUGAGAGAACUCGGGUGAAGGAACUAGGCAAAAUGGUGCCGUAACUUCGGGAGAAGGCACGCUGAUAUGUAGGUGAAGCGACUUGCUCGUGGAGCUGAAAUCAGUCGAAGAUACCAGCUGGCUGCAACUGUUUAUUAAAAACACAGCACUGUGCAAACACGAAAGUGGACGUAUACGGUGUGACGCCUGCCCGGUGCCGGAAGGUUAAUUGAUGGGGUUAGCGGUAACGCGAAGCUCUUGAUCGAAGCCCCGGUAAACGGCGGCCGUAACUAUAACGGUCCUAAGGUAGCGAAAUUCCUUGUCGGGUAAGUUCCGACCUGCACGAAUGGCGUAAUGAUGGCCAGGCUGUCUCCACCCGAGACUCAGUGAAAUUGAACUCGCUGUGAAGAUGCAGUGUACCCGCGGCAAGACGGAAAGACCCCGUGAACCUUUACUAUAGCUUGACACUGAACAUUGAGCCUUGAUGUGUAGGAUAGGUGGGAGGCUUUGAAGUGUGGACGCCAGUCUGCAUGGAGCCGACCUUGAAAUACCACCCUUUAAUGUUUGAUGUUCUAACGUUGGCCCGUAAUCCGGGUUGCGGACAGUGUCUGGUGGGUAGUUUGACUGGGGCGGUCUCCUCCUAAAGAGUAACGGAGGAGCACGAAGGUUGGCUAAUCCUGGUCGGACAUCAGGAGGUUAGUGCAAUGGCAUAAGCCAGCUUGACUGCGAGCGUGACGGCGCGAGCAGGUGCGAAAGCAGGUCAUAGUGAUCCGGUGGUUCUGAAUGGAAGGGCCAUCGCUCAACGGAUAAAAGGUACUCCGGGGAUAACAGGCUGAUACCGCCCAAGAGUUCAUAUCGACGGCGGUGUUUGGCACCUCGAUGUCGGCUCAUCACAUCCUGGGGCUGAAGUAGGUCCCAAGGGUAUGGCUGUUCGCCAUUUAAAGUGGUACGCGAGCUGGGUUUAGAACGUCGUGAGACAGUUCGGUCCCUAUCUGCCGUGGGCGCUGGAGAACUGAGGGGGGCUGCUCCUAGUACGAGAGGACCGGAGUGGACGCAUCACUGGUGUUCGGGUUGUCAUGCCAAUGGCACUGCCCGGUAGCUAAAUGCGGAAGAGAUAAGUGCUGAAAGCAUCUAAGCACGAAACUUGCCCCGAGAUGAGUUCUCCCUGACUCCUUGAGAGUCCUGAAGGAACGUUGAAGACGACGACGUUGAUAGGCCGGGUGUGUAAGCGCAGCGAUGCGUUGAGCUAACCGGUACUAAUGAACCGUGAGGCUUAACCUU